rnacentral:rRNA from 1 species
GAUGAACGCUGGCGGCGUGCCUAAUACAUGCAAGUCGAGCGAACAGACGAGGAGCUUGCUCCUCUGACGUUAGCGGCGGACGGGUGAGUAACACGUGGAUAACCUACCUAUAAGACUGGGAUAACUUCGGGAAACCGGAGCUAAUACCGGAUAAUAUAUUGAACCGCAUGGUUCAAUAGUGAAAGACGGUUUUGCUGUCACUUAUAGAUGGAUCCGCGCCGCAUUAGCUAGUUGGUAAGGUAACGGCUUACCAAGGCAACGAUGCGUAGCCGACCUGAGAGGGGGGUCCGCCAAACUGGAAACGAAAAACGGUCCAGACCCCUAAGGGAGGCAGCAGUAGGGAAUUCUGCGCAAUGGGCGAAAGCCUGACGGAGCAACCCCGCGUGGGUGAAGAAGGGUUUCGGAUUGGAAAAACCUUUUAUUAGGGAAGAACAAAUGUGUAAGUAACUAUGCACGUCUUGACGGUACCUAAUCAGAAAGCCACGGCUAACUACGUG